GGAGGGAGGGAGGGAGGGAGGGGGGAGGGAAGGAGGGAGGGAAGAAGGGAGGGAGGGAGGAAGAGAAACAGAGAGAAAGAGGAAGGAAGGAAGGAAGGAAGGAAGGAAGGAAGGAAGGAAGGAAGGAAGGAAGGAAGGAAGGAGGGAAGGAAGGAAGGAAGGAGGUUUAAUUGGCUCAUAGGUCUGCAGGCUUACAGAAAGCAUGGGCUGGCAUCUGCUCAGCUUCUGGGGGGCCUUAGGGAGCUUUUACUCAUGGCAGAAAGUGAAGUGGGAGCAAGCUCUUUACAGGGUGACAGCAGGAGCAAGAGAGUGGGGGAAAGGUGCUACAAACUUAAACAACCAAAUAUCAUGAGAACAGCACCAAACCAAGCCAUGAAGGAUCUUCCCCCACGACCCCAAGACUUCCCAUCAGGCCCCACCUCCAACGCUGGGAAUCGCAACUCAACAUGAGAUUUGGGAGUGAACACGGAGCAUCAAGUGGUGGAAAAGAAAACAAGCAUCCAGGAGACCAACAGAUGGGAGGACUAUGUUUUUUGUUUGUCGCCCUGACAUCAACAGUUGUGGUCACCUUGAACCAAUUACUUUCUUCCUUCGAGUCUCUGAUUUUUCACCCUGAAAAGGAGUGUGACAGACUAAGCUUAAAGCCUCUCAUCACUUGGAGGUCCUAUAAUCAAGUCAGAUUAUUCCCUCUAGACCAGGGGUCAUCAACCCUCAAGCUUCAGACCAAUAUGGGUCCAAGGCCUGUUAGGAACUGGGCCGCACAAAAGGAGGUGAGCAGCAGCUGAGGAAGAAUUACCACCUGAGCUCCGCCUCCUGUCAGAUCAGCAGUGGCAUUAGAUUCUCACAGGAGUGCAAACCCUACAGUGAACUGUGCAUGUGAAGGAUUGAGGCUGUGUGCUCCUUAUAUGAAUGUAACUAAUGCCUGAUGAUCUGAGGUGGAACACUUUCAUUCUAAAACUCUGUCCCCCGAUCCCAGUCCAUGGAAAACUGUCUUCCACAAAACCAGUUCCUGGUGCCAAAAAGAUCAAGGACCAGUGCGCUAGAGCUUUCUAAUUAGCCACGUACCUAUAGCGUGUGUUGGAGUUGGACACAUGGGUAUUCUCUAGCAAAGAAAUGCUUUGAUCAGAGUAGCACUGGAUACAUAUUCAUUGAUAGAUUCUAAGUCUGCCUCUUACACCAAGAUUGUAUGAUUGGAAUAACCAGACAUCAGAACAACAAUCCUGACGAGGGGAGGUGAUGAGAACAAUUUUUUAUUUUUUGUAUCUCCUUGAGAUGAGUCCACACCAGCAGGACAACUCAACAUUCUUACAGCCUGGAGGGUGGAAGAUGAGCCACUGAGAACAGGGUAGCACAUUUCUGUCUUGCCCUCUUCUCACAAUCUUGGACUUCUUCCUGCCUUGUCUCCAUUUUCUGUCCUCUGACAUGUGAAAAAUAUUUUGAUAGAUAAUUGAUACAUUGCCCAGAAUCUAAUAUACUAAACUUAUCAAUUUAAAGAGGUGUAUAACAAAUACAAUCUUCUUGUUUAAAAGCAUGAAUAUUUACUAUAUUUGUACCAUACAUGCAGUAUGCAUACUUUUCAUGAAAGCAUACACUUCAUUAUGGGCCCAUACUUACUAAAGCUUUCUAAUCCCUGCUACUGUACCUGGUGCAUAGUUUGUGUUCAUUAAAUACUUUAUGAAUUUGUCUACUUGAGAAAAACAAAAGAAACUUACUUACUAGAUUAAGGUUGCAUUUGCAUGUUACCAAACCAUCUAGUUGGAAAAUGAAAACUCCAAUCAUUUUGAUGCCAAAUUAUGCCACACAUUCAGACAUCUGGGAAGCAUUUGGAGCAUUUUACUUUUCCCUUAAAUGUUUUGGUGUCCUAUAGAGACAAGCCUCAGGAAAUGGCUGUGGGUGUUUGUGGUAAGGGGAGUGUGCAAUGUGGGAGGUAAUAUUUUGAAAGUGGCUUCUAGGAGGGAAUGUGCUGGUAAAGUCAAAUUGAAAAUUGGUUCACUUCUCUAUGCUGAUUGUCAUGUAAAUUUGGGCCAGCUUUUUGGUCAAUAAGGCCAUUAAAGCAAGAGUUAUCAUUCUGUCUAUUACCCUUUACUCAAAAAUCUCACACCAAAAAUUGAACAGGGCAUAAAGUUCAAGAAAAUUAUUCUAUAGCAACUCAAUGGGAUAGCUCUCAUCUAUUAGACAUAUAACACAUGAAGCCUUCUGAAGCCACAUGGAAAAAACAUUUAUAAAUGGCUAACUAAAAAACCUGGAGGAUAAAAUGGCCUCUAUACAUUAUAUAUAUACAGAUACAUAUAUAUGUAUAUCUAUAACUUACACAUAUUAUAUAAUUAUGAAGCUAAUUCAUAGGCUAAUUAAGAAGAUAAUUCCAUUCUAUCCCUAAAGCUGUAUCUAAAUCUUUACAAUUUUUUAUCUUCAUAUUUCAACCAACCAAUUAUUUUUCUCAUUUUGUAGUUUGUAUAAGAAAACCAGAUUGACGUGCUUGUACUUUUUCCAAGUUAAAUAUUCUAUUUUUUUUUUCAAAAUUAAAUAACAUAAUACAAAAUUAUUGGGACAUACUGUCCCACCCUAGGGAUCCAUCAUUUCACUGCUUGCUACCAAUUUAAAGUCACAGAGAACUCAAAGACCCAAGAUUUACAUUUAAGGAGCCUAUUGCCUACUGCAUUUGGAGAUCACAAGGUCUCCAUGCUAGAGAUAGCAGAGAACUGAGGAUUGACCCUAAAAAGCUGCCAUCAGGAAUAUAAACUAAGCAUAGGCAUUAAAUGCAUACCAUUCAUCAGUUCCCCAAAUGCCUUUGAUAACCAAGUUAAUACCUAGAAGUUGAAGAGUCCAGGUUAAGCGAUUCAGGGUGUUCAGAUUUAAGGGAAAUCCCACAACAGGAACCCCUUUCUUGCCCUCAUUUUAUUUGUAAAAAUAUUUUUAUAUAAGCUAGUUAAAUUGAUUAUCAAAGAAAACCAAAAGGAGUUAGUAUGAAGAGUGUCUUGAAGGCUUCUGGAACCAUAGGACAAGGUAGUCUUAAUUUAUACAUAAGCCCAGAUAUUAUUUACUACCAGUUGUCCUGUGCCAACUCUUCCCCCACAGCCCCCUUACAGUAGCCUGGCUAAGUCACUAUACAGGAGCCCCCGGAAGUCAGGACCCAGGAAAUCAUCUCAAUUUGUUAUAUCCCAAGUUGAGUUGGAUGGUGAUUAAAUGAUAAUCUCUUUGAUAUAUUUUUCAACUGGUAGGGUUUUUUUUCACUUUAGGCUGUGGCAGAAAAAUUUCGUGACAACAGUGUAGCUGCUCAAAGAAUGGAAAAGUCAUUUAAGGACAAAAAGAAGGUAAAAAGAACAUGUGAGUAAUCAAUCUAUGAUGGGCAGGAAAAAUUUGGCACAUUUCUAAAUGGAAAACAAAAUAGUAUUGAAGAAAAAUACAAUUUUCCAUAACUUCAAUUACACUUCAUUUUCCAAAUCUGUGCUCUUUUAAAUGAUUAAGGUUUCUAACAAUCCAGACUAAAUACAGCAAAGAGUAAAAGAAAAUAAAUCUUUCUGUAUUUGAAAUUUGCA
rnacentral:lncRNA from 13 species